rnacentral:rRNA from 1 species
UACGAAGGGGGCUAGCGUUGCUCGGAAUCACUGGGCGUAAAGGGUGCGUAGGCGGGUCUUAAGUCAGGGGUGAAAUCCUGGAGCUCAACUCCAGAACUGCCUUUGAUACUGAGGAGCUUGGAGUCCGGGAGAGGUGAGUGGAACUGCGAGUGUAGAGGUGAAAUUCGUAGAUAUUCGCAAGAACACCAGUGGCGAAGGCGGCUCACUGGCCCGGUACUGACGCUGAGGCACGAAAGCGUGGGGAGCAAACAGGGA